GACGAACCGAGCGAACGUUGUUCGGAAUCACUGGGCUUAAAGGACGCGUAGGCGGGCUGUCAAGUCUGGGGUGAAAUCCCGCGGCUCAACCGUGGAACUGCCUCAGAUACUGACGGCCUCGAGGGAGAUAGGGGCGAGCGGAACUAAUGGUGGAGCGGUGAAAUGCGUUGAUAUCAUUAGGAACUCCGGUGGCGAAGGCGGCUCGCUGGAUCUUUUCUGACGCUGAGGCGCGAAAGCUAGGGGAGCAAACGGG
rnacentral:rRNA from 1 species